AGUGGUUAGUUCUCUGUGGAUGGAGA
rnacentral:piRNA from 1 species